rnacentral:piRNA from 1 species
UGAGAGUGGAAAGAUCUUCUAGAAGA